GAUUACAAUUCCCAGAAUUUAUAAACAGCAGAUGAAACUCAAAUACUUUGGCCACCUAAUGGGCCACCUAGUGGAAGGACUCACUGGAGAAGAGCCUAAUGUUGGGAAAGAUUGAGGGCAAAAGAAGAAAGGGACGAGGUGGCUGGAUGGAGUCACUGAAGCGGUAGGCAUCAGCUUAAAUGGAUUCCAGAGGAUGGUAGAAGACAGGAAGGUCUGGAGGAACAUUGUCCAUAGGGUUGCGAUGAGUCGGACACGACUUCGAACUAACAACAAAUAAACAGCAUGGUCAUUGCUACCAUAUCCAUGCAGACCAAAUUUAAAUAUGAUGAACAUAGUCUCUCCUCAGAAACCAAUUUAAGAUGUCAUCUGAACCAACAAAUAUUCCAUUUACACUGAAAUUACUUUCCCUGUUGACAUUAUUACAACUGUUAGCUGUGUGAAAGGAGGUGAUCUGAAGUCAACUGAAAAUACUCCAAUAAAACAAAAAUGAAUUAAACCUGGAAUGGCUAAAGAUUAUUUUCUUUUGCCUUCUUAUGUAAGUAAACAUAAAUUAUUGAUAAACAUAAAUGGCUCUCUUAAGAGCAGUUUUGUUUUCAAUGUAUAGUACUUGUCAAUGCAUAGAGUUUUAUCAAUGCUGUCUAUAAUACUCCAAACUUUAUUUUUGAUUAUGUGCAAACAAGCUACUCUAACUGAAGGAAGAGUAAUACCCUCAAAUCAGGGGUGAAACGAUUUUUGUGUAUUUGAUGUUUGAAUAAUGUUAGGAGGUAUCUUCCUCCUUCUCUUUGGUCUUUCUUUUUUUCUUUUUUUUUUCCUUUAUUUCUUUUCCCCUCUCUUAUUUUUUUUAAUUCUCUUCUUAAUUUUUCUUGUUAUAUCUUUAUUCUUUUUUUCCUCUCUCUCUCUGUUUCCUUUUUAUUUUUUAUUGCUAUUAUUAUUAUUAUCCUUACUAUCCUCUCUCUUUACUUUUACCUUAAUU